GACGAACGCUGGCGGCGUGCUUAACACAUGCAAGUCGAACGGAAAGGCCCUGCUUUUGUGGGGUGCUCGAGUGGCGAACGGGUGAGUAACGCGUGAGUAACCUGCCCUUGACUUUGGGAUAACUUCAGGAAACUGGGGCUAAUACCGGAUAGGAGCUCCUGCUGCAUGGUGGGGGUUGGAAAGUUUCGGCGGUUGGGGAUGGACUCGCGGCUUAUCAGCUUGUUGGUGGGGUAGUGACUUACCAAGGCUUUGACGGGUAGCCGGCCUGAGAGGGUGACCGGCCACAUUGGGACUGAGAUACGGCCCAGACGCCUACGGGAGGCAGCAGUGGGGAAUAUUGCACAAUGGGCGGAAGCCUGAUGCAGCAACGCCGCGUGCGGGAUGACGGCCUUCGGGUUGUAAACCGCUUUCGCCUGUGACGAAGCGUGAGUGACGGUAAUGGGUAAAGAAGCACCGGCUAACUACGUG
rnacentral:rRNA from 1 species